AAAUUGAAGAGUUUGAUCAUGGCUCAGAUUGAACGCUGGCGGCAGGCCUAACACAUGCAAGUCGAGCGGUAGCACAGAGAGCUUGCUCUCGGGUGACGAGCGGCGGACGGGUGAGUAAUGUCUGGGAAACUGCCUGAUGGAGGGGGAUAACUACUGGAAACGGUAGCUAAUACCGCAUAACGUCGCAAGACCAAAGUGGGGGACCUUCGGGCCUCAUGCCAUCAGAUGUGCCCAGAUGGGAUUAGCUAGUAGGUGGGGUAACGGCUCACCUAGGCGACGAUCCCUAGCUGGUCUGAGAGGAUGACCAGCCACACUGGAACUGAGACACGGUCCAGACUCCUACGGGAGGCAGCAGUGGGGAAUAUUGCACAAUGGGCGCAAGCCUGAUGCAGCCAUGCCGCGUGUGUGAAGAAGGCCUUCGGGUUGUAAAGCACUUUCAGCGGGGAGGAAGGCGUUAAGGUUAAUAACCUUGGCGAUUGACGUUACCCGCAGAAGAAGCACCGGCUAACUCCGUGCCAGCAGCCGCGGUAAUACGGAGGGUGCAAGCGUUAAUCGGAAUUACUGGGCGUAAAGCGCACGCAGGCGGUCUGUCAAGUCGGAUGUGAAAUCCCCGGGCUCAACCUGGGAACUGCAUUCGAAACUGGCAGGCUAGAGUCUUGUAGAGGGGGGUAGAAUUCCAGGUGUAGCGGUGAAAUGCGUAGAGAUCUGGAGGAAUACCGGUGGCGAAGGCGGCCCCCUGGACAAAGACUGACGCUCAGGUGCGAAAGCGUGGGGAGCAAACAGGAUUAGAUACCCUGGUAGUCCACGCCGUAAACGAUGUCGAUUUGGAGGUUGUGCCCUUGAGGCGUGGCUUCCGGAGCUAACGCGUUAAAUCGACCGCCUGGGGAGUACGGCCGCAAGGUUAAAACUCAAAUGAAUUGACGGGGGCCCGCACAAGCGGUGGAGCAUGUGGUUUAAUUCGAUGCAACGCGAAGAACCUUACCUGGUCUUGACAUCCACAGAACUUUCCAGAGAUGGAUUGGUGCCUUCGGGAACUGUGAGACAGGUGCUGCAUGGCUGUCGUCAGCUCGUGUUGUGAAAUGUUGGGUUAAGUCCCGCAACGAGCGCAACCCUUAUCCUUUGUUGCCAGCGGUU
rnacentral:rRNA from 1 species